UACAGAGGUCUCAAGCGUUGUUCGGAUUCAUUGGGCGGAAAGGGUGCGUAGGCGGCGCGGUAAGUCGGGUGUGAAAUCUCGGAGCUUAACUCCAAAACUGCAUUCGAUACUGCCGUGCUUGAGGACUGGAGAGGAGACUGGAAUUUACGGUGUAGCGGUGAAAUGCGUAGAUAUCGAGAGGAACACCUGCGGCGAAGGCGGGUUGCUGGGCUGACACUGACGCUGAUGCGCGAAAGCUAGGGGAGCGAACGGG
rnacentral:rRNA from 1 species